rnacentral:rRNA from 1 species
UGGGUAACCUGCCUUAUAGUGGGGGAUAGCCUUUCGAAAGGAAGAUUAAUACCGCAUAAGAUUGUAGUAUCGCAUGAUAUAGCAAUUAAAGAGCAAUUCGCUAUAAGAUGGACCCGCGUCGCAUUAGCUAGUUGGUGAGGUAAUGGCUCACCAAGGCGACGAUGCGUAGCCGACCUGAGAGGGUGAUCGGCCACAUUGGGACUGAGACACGGCCCAGACUCCUACGGGAGGCAGCAUG